GAUGAACGCUGGCAGUGUGCCUUAGACAUGCAAGUCGAACGGGAAGUCUUUAAAGCUUGCUUUUUAGGCUUCUAGUGGCGAACGGGUGAGUAACACGUGGGUGACCUGCCCUCGAGUGCGGCAUAACCCCGGGAAACCGGAGCUAAUUCCGCAUGUGCUUGCACCUCUGGUGGUAGUAAGUAAAGAUUUAUCGCUCGAGGAUGGGCCCGCGGCGCAUCAGCUAGUUGGUGGGGAAAAGCCUACCAAGGCGACGACGCGUAGCCGACCUGAGAGGGUGACCGGCCACAGGGGCACUGAGAUACGGGCCCCACUCCUACGGGAGGCAGCAGUUAGGAAUCUUCCCCAAUGGCGAAAGCCUGAGGGAGCGACACUGCAUGAGGGAUGACGGCCU
rnacentral:rRNA from 1 species